rnacentral:rRNA from 1 species
GAGUGCGNUAGGGGAGGCUGGAACUCCUGGUGUAGCGGUGGAAUGCGCAGAUAUCAGGAAGAACACCGGUGGCGAAGGCGGGUCUCUGGGCCGUUACUGACGCUGAGGAGCGAAAGCGUGGGGAGCGAACAGGAUUAGAUACCCUGGUAGUCCACGCCGUAAACGUUGGGCACUAGGUGUGGGGGGCCUUUUCCGGGUUUUCCGCGCCGUAGCUAACGCAUUAAGUGCCCCGCCUGGGGAGUACGGCCGCAAGGCUAAAACUCAAAGGAAUUGACGGGGGCCCGCACAAGCGGCGGAGCAUGCGGAUUAAUUCGAUGCAACGCGAAGAACCUUACCAAGGCUUGACAUGUGCCGGUCGGCUCCGGAGACGGGGUUUCCUCCUUGUGGGGCCGGUUCACAGGUGGUGCAUGGUUGUCGUCAGCUCGUGUCGUGAGAUGUUGGGUUAAGUCCCGCAACGAGCGCAACCCUUGUCUCGUGUUGCCAGCACGUUGUGGUGGGGACUCGCGGGAGACUGCCGGGGUCAACUCGGAGGAAGGUGGGGAUGACGUCAAAUCAUCAUGCCCCUUAUGUCUUGGGCUUCACGCAUGCUACAAUGGCCGGUACAGAGGGCUGCGAUACCGUGAGGUGGAGCGAAUCCCUUAAAGCCGGUCUCAGUUCGGAUCGGUGUCUGCAACUCGACACCGUGAAGUUGGAGUCGCUAGUAAUCGCAGAUCAGCAACGCUGCGGUGAAUACGUUCUCGGGCCUUGUACACACCGCCCGUCACGUCAUGAAAGUCGGCAACACCCGA